GAUGAACGCUGGCGGCGUGCCUAAUACAUGCAAGUCGAGCGAACGGACGAGAAGCUUGCUUCUCUGAUGUUAGCGGCGGACGGGUGAGUAACACGUGGAUAACCUACCUAUAAGACUGGGAUAACUUCGGGAAACCGGAGCUAAUACCGGAUGAUAUUUUGAACCGCAUGGUUCAAAAGUGAAAGACGGUCUUGCUGUCACUUAUAGAUGGAUCCGCGCUGCAUUAGCUAGUUGGUAAGGUAACGGCUUACCAAGGCAACGAUGCAUAGCCGACCUGAGAGGGGGAUCGGCGAAACUGGAACUGAGACACGGUCCAGACUCAGACGGGAGGCAGCAGUAGGGAAUCUACCGCAAUGGGCGAAAGCCUGACGGAGCAACGCCGCGUGAGUGAUGAAGGUCUGCGGAUCGUAAAACUCUGUUAGUAGGGAAGAACAUAUGUGUAAGUAACUGUGCACAUCUUGACGGUACCUAAUCAGAAAGCCACGGCUAGCUACGCG
rnacentral:rRNA from 1 species